ACCCUAACCCUAACCCUAACCCUAACCCUUGGGCAGUAAGGCCCAAGCGGGUCUAAAGGACACAAAUAACUUACAUAAACAAGUCACCAAAAGUCAACUAGUUCUGUUUCACCCAGGCUUUGCCUCAAUGCACAUCUAUAGAUAAUACACAUCCAUGCCUAUCUUUUUAGGUUCCCCAAAAAAACCAACAAAGGAGAAACUGCCUAAUCCUCAUUUACAAAUGGGUUGCCUGAAUAUGAUGGGUGUCCUGAAAAUAAACUGCCACUCCCUGCAUCACCACAAGGUGGAACUUCAGUGGGCAGAGCUGUGAGCAGAACAGCUGAUCGUCUACUUCAUAGGGAGGAAAAGGAGCUCUUAUCGAGGCAGCCCAUACCCGGAGCAGUGAGAGUGGCACCACCAGACUCGUUCCCCUGGACCACACGUGGCAUCUCAGCAUCUGUCCGCCAUAGUUGUGAGCACCUGUGCUUUACCUGGAUUCAUUCUGUGCAUUGCUUAGCCAGAUGGGUCCCAAGGGCACUGGACAUUGGAUUAAAGACCAGAGAAUGAAACAUUUUAAAACUGUCUCAUCUGAUUCCAAGCAAAACAUAAUCCUACGUAUUGAGGUUGUAGGUUUAGCUCGUUGAAUUUCAAGGAGCCGU
rnacentral:lncRNA from 1 species